UUUUUUUUGCUCCUAAACAUUCUGUACAGAGGUCUUUUUUUUUCUUGCUAGUAAUCCUGAGGUAUGGUUCCAGGAGUAGGACUCUUGGGUCAAAAGAUAGGCACAAUAGGGGUAUCUAGGUGGUACAGUGGAUAGAGCAGCAGCCCCUGAGGUUAGGAGGACCCGAGUUCAAAUAUGGCCUCAGACAUUUAGCGUCUCCUGGCUGUGUGAUCCUGGGCAACUCACUUAAUCCCAAUUGCCUCAGCAAAAAAAACCAAAAAAGGCACAUUCUCAAUUCUUGCGAUAUAAAUUUGUGUUAUUACAAAGAAGAUUGGAUCAAUUUAUAGUCACACUAACAGCUUAAUUAUGUGCCUGCUUUACCAUAGCCAUUCCAGCUUUGAAUUUCAUCAUAAUGUUAUUUUUGCCAAUUCAACAUGAUGUAAAAUAGAAUGUUUUUAUUAGCAUUUUUCUAAAUAGGUUAAAUUAAGUAUAAUCUAACAAUUAUGGUCUCUACAAAUUACCUGAUGUUGCUAUUGCAUUUAUUACUGUUAUUAUUCUUGAAGAAGAUAAGAAAAGGGAAUAGUCAGGUUUUGGCAAAUGAUAUUUGACCAUAGAGCACAUCUUAGGACAGUAAAUUGAAAAGUGUUCAGAAUACCUGAUUCUGCUGUAUCUCCUUACUAUAAAAAGCAUUUGAUUUGUUAGAAAUAUUGCCUAAAUGGCUCUACUCCAAUAAGAUGCUUCCCAUACAUACUUCAAAAUCAUAUAAAAUUCUUUGAAUGAACUUUUUGAUAGCUGAUUACUAAUAUUAAAUGAGUGCUAAAACAAAUGAUAUAUACCUGCCACUAGUGUUCGUCAUUGUCAAAGGGAGGUAUAGCAAAGAUUCCAAAUAGAACAAAUAUUCCUUAAGGAUAGUAAUAAAACUUUUGAUGAACAUCAUGCCCAUGAAUUCAGUCAAUGAAUUGUCGAUCAGACAUGCAGAUUUGUUUAUGGAAAUGGAAGGAUCUAUUAUGGCAAUUUAGGACUUCAUUGACAGUAGAAAUGACAGGUUUAAUCUUGAGCCCAUACUCAUUAAGCUGUGGAGAUUACUAAGGAAUAGAUAGCAGCUGUGCAAAUAGACUACAGAAGCUUAAGUAUCAAUUUGUAGCAAGCCAUGACCUACUGUCUGGAAUUAUUAGAAAUUACUUUUCAUGGAUUAGCAAAUGGCAAAUCCCCAUGCUUUGGGGAGACUGAAAAUGCCUUAAGAAAUCAACCAAUAAACUAACCGAAACUGGAGCAUUAUCAUUAGGAGUGUGUGCUGGUAAAAAGAUUUGAUAACCAGAUAUUCAGGAGGAAAAAUGCAAAUAACACAAUUUUAGGUUUAAUCUUCAUUAUUAGUAUUUUCUCCACAUAGAUCUAAACAAUCAACAGAACAAAUUGAGCCCUCAUUUAAAUUGUUUGCCAAUUCUUGAAGGUAUAAAUCUUCACACUGAAAAUUUAACAAUCAGCUCUCAGGAGCUUACAGACCAAACUAACUUCAAUCACCUGAAUAUAGCAUUGAUACAGAUGUUGCCUUAUCAAAUAUUUCUAAGUUUCAUGGAACGAAAAGCUUCUGAAAGAGACUUAAUAAAAGAAACAAAAGCACAAAAAAAAGUCUGAUACUGGAAUUAAGGCUAUUUUAAACAAACCUAUAUACAAAUUGAACUUACAUCCUAAUUUAGCUAUAAAAACAGGUGCUUUAUCCCCCUGUGCAGUUAUCUGUAGAAUAUUUAAAAAUUUUUUUAAAGUUGGACAGUGACUUGUCCCAAUAUCUCAAUCUUAACUCCAUCACCAAGGUGAAAACUUUUAAUAGCUUUAAAGUCAGCUCUACAUACAUUAUCUCAUCACUUGAUCUUUACAACAAUCUUGUGAGAGACAAAGUAUCAUCCCCAUUUUGACAAAACAGGUGAGUUGCCCAUAUAGCUUAAGUGCCUUGCAAAUGAAUGCUGCUGAUUAUUGUAUGAUUAUUGUAUAUCCUCCCUAAUUUGAUAUCGAUAAUUAAAAGAACUUGGCCCACUACCCACAUAGGAAAAGUGAAAGAGGAAAGCCUAUCAUUCAGACAUCAUAGAAGGGUAACCCACAAAGCUAGCCAAUCAAUCCAUAACUCAAGGAGAUAACCCUAAAAUUAAGCUGAAGCAAAAGAAUGAACUAGAAUUACAGGGGUUUUUUUUUAAGCUCUUCCCAGAAUAUCAUUUUUCACAAUAGUAGUAUUCUGAUGGUACAUGAUUAUAAGUGUUAUAUGUAGAGUUGAAGGUGGAAAUUACCCACAGGACAUUGGAAAGGGUAUGAAUAAGCUGCACUAACAUUACAAGUAAGGAAUUUAUCAGGAGAAAUAGUGUAAAAUGUUAUCAAAUGAGAAGGAAAAAAUUAUGUCACAAAAGAAGAGCAAAAAAUAAUGGACGUACUAUAAACCUUACUGCUAAGUUAAUGCUAAGUGAACAUGAAGAAUUGUCCUCAGAAUGUUGGGUGCAUCCCUUGUAGUGGAUUUAUGAGAGUACUUGGACAAAAUUUGUAUAUAUAGAGCAAGCACAUAGAAAUGAACUGUAUUAAAACCCACUGAUUACUAAUAAAUGCUGAAACAAAGUUAACAGUGAAUUUCUACAAGUUUUUAUCGCUGUCAAAGAAUUUUCAACAUAUUCCAAAUAGAAUAUUCCUAAAGAAUGAUAAAAAUAAGGCUUUUGAUAGGCAAUACAAACAUGAAUUCAGCUAAUGAUAUACAGAGUAAAUAUUUGGAGAAAGGUAUAUCAAUGAGAUCACAAAUCCAUUGGGCUAUCAUGAAUUGUGGGGGUAGGAGGAAAAAAUCAGCAGUAAAUAUAAGAUGAAGAUAGACGUUUUAGCACAAGAAUUUUAACUUUUAUAGGAUAAAUUUGUAAUGUUUGCAAAUUUUCUUUCUGAAAUUGCUAGGCAUGAAAUAUAAUUACAGUAAUAUUUGCAUAAUGUCAUAGUCUUGUGCUGUUACUUUAAAGACAAAUUUGUUAGGCUGGGAUGAGAAACAACCAUUGUACCAAAUUAUUUGUAAAGAAUUCAUUGUAAUUGAUUGAUUAGCAUGGUUCAUCCAGUGAAGUGUAAAAAUGAGUUCAUAUCAAACUUUAUUUUUCCAUUAUUGUAAAGAGAUAAGACUUUUCUACUGCUUAGUUUUUAUUUUGGUACUUUGAGGAUACAAGUGCCAGCAGUUGUGUUGUGCCAUAUUGUUUUCUUGGUGGCAACUUUCCAAUUGUAACUUUUUCCACCCAACAACGCUUGUACAUCAUUAUUGGGAUUAUUUUCCAAGUUCCUGCCAUUAAAUGAAAUGUUUUCUCCGUUGCAUGUUUGUUGAUUAAAAGACUUGAUUUCCUUGAA
rnacentral:lncRNA from 1 species